GAGACUGGACCAUGUGACCAAUUUCAGGGUCACCCCCAGGACACACUCACUGCCUGUCACUUAGCACCGAAGUCCCUGGGAUCCAUAUCACCUACUUCCUUGUUUUGAGGCCUGAGAAGGUGGGAGGGGAGGAAAGAUCACAAAGCCAGAGGAUGAAGAGCCUGGAGCUUUAGAAGGAUGGUGCCCUUCUCCUCAUCUGUCUCACUCUUUUAAAAUGGCUAAUGCCCCAGAUAAAGAGUGCAGAUCACAUGUGACUUAUAACAUGAAUACACAGCACUGUAUAAACAGCCUCAGGAAAAGGCAGCCCUGGUCAUUCUGCUUAUGAGAGUCCCAACCAAGCUGAGUCUUUUUCCAUACAAUCUUGGAAUGGGAAAAUAUCAUCACCCCUCAUCCUUAAGGGUUUUCUUCAAUGGCUUCCAUUCCUUAGACCAUUCUCUUCUCAUUACUAAUGUGGCAAAGCCCAGGUGUCUAUAAGCCCUCGAACUAUUGUGGCCUGCUUUAAUGCGGGGCGUUUCCAGGAGGCAGAUGUUUUAACUAGCAGGGGAAAGAAA
rnacentral:lncRNA from 1 species